GCUGCUCUCGGGCGGGCUGCUGGCUUCCUUGUCGGGGGUGUUGGCCUCCCCCUGUCCUGCUGGAAAGUUUCUGGCAGGUAAAGGCCAUGUGACCAGAGGAUCCAAGCUCCUGAGUCAGGAAAUGUACACCAGGAGGGCUUGGGUCGGUGGACGAGCCAUACCAGUGCUGGGGUAGGAGAUGGAAGUCUGGGGAUGCCAGCCAAGAGCACACCAUGGCAGCAUGCCUGGUGGCACAGCUGGGAGCUGGCCAUGUGGUCAGUCAGUGAGUAACCAGAGCCCAGGCUGCCUUACCAAGUACCAAACACUACCAGGCACGGGGGGCUCGAGAGCAGACCCUGGGCGGGAGAGGCCGCAUGCAAGUGCGACUGCAGGCAGAGGGCAGGGCAGAAGUGAGUGCCACAGAGCUUGGGGGUGCUGUGCUAAGGCCCAGCGGGGGCUCGACCAGCACGAACAGAGGGCCAAAGUGACUACACAAGCUGCCCAACUCCUCUGGCUACAGUUUGUUCCCAAAUAACGUGAAGGGUGGGGCCUACCCGCUACCAGGUCUUACCUGUUUUCAGUCAUUUUUGGAUGGGGACUGGGGUUACAUAGGGAAGACCGGCUGGAAGCCCACUUGGGACAGCAUGGCAGGUGCUGGGAGCAGGCAGGAAAGGAUCUGGGUAGAGCAGGCUGUGUUGGGUGAUGCUGAGUGGCGUGUGUUUGUUUCCUCCACACCUCCCCCCUGCUGUGAGCAGAGCCCUGGCCAUGUGCUUGUUGGGUCCCUAGUGAGACCAGUGAGAACUUGCCUGGGACACCAGCAGACUCUGCACACGUCACAGACAAGCUGAGUAAUGCAGAGACAGUCAGCCUGGUGCCAG